CGCACAUUGCGCCCAUUAGUAUUCUAGCGGGCAUGCCUGUUCGAGCGUCAUUUCAAACUUCAAGCAUUGCUUGGUGUUGAAGCUAGCUGUUUUCGCUGCUUCCAAAAUUAUCGGCAGAUCUACGAUGAUCUAGACUUAGUAAUUCUUCUAGUCUCUGAAUAUUCGUUUGGUCUCGCCUCGAACUCUGUCCAAUUUUUUGGAAGAAUUUAACAAGUUUGACCUCGGAUCAGGUAGGAAUACCCGCUGAACUUAA
rnacentral:misc_RNA from 1 species